rnacentral:rRNA from 1 species
AUGUUUCAUUUUUUGCAAAAUCAGAGAUUUUUGAAAGUUUUAGAAUUCAGGACAGGGAAAAUAAAAAAUUAUCCCAUCCCAAAUUCCCAAUCCACAUACAUUGUUGUCGUGCCCUCGGAAAAAUAUGGCUCCUUCUCCUCGGACGGGACGGCAGGGUCAGGUAUGAUAUUAAGAAGGAAUGACGGGAGCGUAAUCUUUGCUGCAUACCGUCAUUUACUCGUUUGUAAUGAUGCUCUUGAAGCCGAGCUCCAUGCAAUCAGUGGUGAUUCAAUCGGAUUUCUCAACAGCCUAUCGUCGUUAUCUGAGGCCCUGGAUCGGUUAGCUUAUGGUCAUCUUAUUUUAGAGAUCGGAGUCUUAUGGUCAGUACGGAGUUUGUUCCUAUGA